UACGAAGGGGGCUAGCGUUGUUCGGAAUCACUGGGCGUAAAGCGCACGCAGGCGGAUUGAUAAGUCAGGGGUGAAAUCCCGGAGCUCAACUUCGGAACUGCCUUUGAUACAGCACGUCUUGAGUCCGGAAGAGGUGGGUGGAAUUCCUAGUGUAGAGGUGAAAUUCGUAGAUAUUAGGAAGAACACCGGUGGCGAAGGCGGCCCACUGGUCCGGUACUGACGCUGAGGUGCGAAAGCGUGGGGAGCAAACAGG
rnacentral:rRNA from 1 species